rnacentral:lncRNA from 1 species
AGCAGUUCGGGGUAAUAACUACCUCCAUAUGUGGCCCGUGGUGGCAGCGCUUCUUUUGGGUUCUUUUCACUGUGGUUUGGCACAGCUAACCUUUAAAAAUAUUAACUCUGUAAAGGCUAGCAACUGCAGCAGAAUUGUUCUUAUUCCAUGCUAUGUCUCCAACAUAGAGGCACAAGACAUCAAUGAAUUAUUUUUGAAGUGGAAAUUUGGACAAGAUAUAAUUUUUGUCUUUGAUGGGCAUGCAAACAAAUCUACAACUUAUACGUUUCCAAGUGCACAAAUUUUCCCCUCCGAAUUUCUAAAAGGAAAUGCAUCUUUGACGUUGGCUAAGAAUGAAGCUAAAGCAGGAAACUACACAUGUGAAGUGACAGAAUUGAGCAGGGAGGGGAAACACACUGUGGAGCUAAAAUAUAGUGAUGGUUCAUGGUUUACUUUAAGUGAAAAUAUUCCCAUUAUUAUUUUCCCAUUUUUGACUGUACUUCUGUUCUGGGCACAGUUUGGUAUUUUAAUGCAAAAAUAUAAAUCCAACCCUGUGAAUAGGAAAAUUCUUAUUUUAUCUACUUCUGGACUAUUGUUCACCAUAAUUGUCACUGUUGGAGCCGCCCUUUAUAUCCCAGGUAAUUAUUCAAAAAGGAAAGGCUAUGGGCUUAUUUUCUUCAUUAGUCCUUCAGUGAUCCCUGUGUUCCUUCAGUACCAUAAGUUUAAGCCAGCUAUCGGGAGGACCCUCCAGGCUGUGAUCAUGUUCACCAUUGCUCAAGGACUGGGUGCUGUACUCACUCUGGCGGGACUAUAUCUCACUGCAUCUGACUGUGUACCAAAAUACGGCCUCCUUCUAAUUUCAGGUUUGGCCAUAAUAACUCUAGUGGAAUUAUUUGGACUAAUUUAUAUGAAAUGGCUUGACCCAAUGAUAGGGUUUCCAUAAGACACAAAAGUGCAGGCAGCGCUGUCUUUGUUCCCGAGUUUCACACUUUGUCUCACUGGCUCUCAAGGAAUACUAAAUCCAACCAUCUCUAGUCCAGAGCAAGAUGCCAGACGUUCCAAGUGCCACUGGGUCACCUUGCUUUUCUCAUCGCUGAAGCCAGCUGAUUGCUCUCCAAGGAUACUGUUUUGCCCAAGGCAGUGUGGACUUUGACAUUCCUUCAAGUUUCAACUAGAAUAUUGACUAGAGGCUAGUUUGUAGACGUAUUACUUUGUAAAAAGUGUCAACUCCUUGAUUGUAACAGAAAACAAUAAAAACAUUAAAAAUCCA